UACGUAGGCAGCGAGCGUUGUUCGGAGUUACUGGGCGUAAAGAGUGCGUAGGCGGUUUUCUAAGUUUGGUGUGAAAUCUCCCGGCUCAACUGGGAGGGUGCGCCGAAGACUGGAAGGCUAGAGUAUGGGAGAGGUAAGCGGAAUUCCUGGUGUAGCGGUGAAAUGCGUAGAUAUCAGGAGGAACACCGGUGGCGAAGGCGGCAUCCUGGACCAUUACUGACGCUGAGGCGCGAAAGCUAGGGGAGCAAACGGG
rnacentral:rRNA from 1 species